rnacentral:rRNA from 1 species
UACGUAGGUGGCAAGCGUUGUCCGGAUUUACUGGGCGUAAAGGGCGCGUAGGCGGCCACCGCAAGUCGACUGUGAAAUCUCCGGGCUUAACUCGGAAAGGUCAGCCGAUACUGCGGGGCUAGAGUGCAGAAGGGGCAACUGGAAUUCUCGGUGUAGCGGUGAAAUGCGUAGAUAUCGAGAGGAACACCUGCGGCGAAGGCGGGUUGCUGGGCUGACACUGACGCUGAUUGUGCGAAAGCUAGGGGAGCGAACGGG